GAUGAACGCUGGCGGCGUGCCUAAUACAUGCAAGUCGAGCGAACAGACGAGGAGCUUGCUCCUCUGACGUUAGCGGCGGACGGGUGAGUAACACGUGGAUAACCUACCUAUAAGACUGGGAUAACUUCGGGAAACCGGAGCUAAUACCGGAUAAUAUAUUGAACCGCAUGGUUCAAUAGUGAAAGACGGUUUUGCUGUCACUUAUAGAUGGAUCCGCGCCGCAUUAGCUAAUUGGUAAGGUAACGGCUUACCAAGGCAACGAUGCGUAGCCGACCUGAGAGGGUGAUCGGCCACACUGGAACUGAGACCCGGUCCAGACUCCUACGGGAGGCAGCAGUAGGGAAUCUUCCGCAAUGGGCGAAAGCCUGACGGAGCAACGCCGCGUGAGUGAUGAAGGUCUUCGGAUCGUAAAACUCUGUUAUUAGGGAAGAACAAAUGUGUAAGUAACUAUGCACGUCUGGACGGUACCUAAUCAGAAAGCCACGGCUAACUACGU
rnacentral:rRNA from 1 species